rnacentral:rRNA from 1 species
AGAGUUUGAUCAUGGCUCAGAAUCAACGCUGGCGGCGUGCCUCAGACAUGCAAGUCGAACGAUUAAACUUCCUUUCGGGGAAGAUAUAAAGUGGCGUACGGGUGAGUAACACGUAGGUAAUGUACCUUUGGGUGGGGAAUAACUUAGGGAAACUUAAGCUAAUACCGCAUAAUGCAGCGGCUCGAUAUCGAGACAGUUGUUAAAGGAGUAAUCCGCCUAAAGAGCAGCCUGCGGCAGAUUAGCUAGUUGGUAAGGUAAUGGCUUACCAAGGCUACGAUCUGUAACCGACCUGAGAGGGUGGUCGGUCACACUGACACUGAAUAACGGGUCAGACUCCUACGGGAGGCAGCAGUCGGGAAUUUGGGCAAUGGGCGAAAGCCUGACCCAGCAACGCCGCGUGAAGGAUGAAGUCUCUCGGGAUAUAAACUUCGUAAGAAUAGGAAGAAUAAAUGACGGUACUAUUUGUAAGGUCCGGCUAACUACGUG